rnacentral:rRNA from 1 species
GACGAACGCUGGCGGCGUGCUUAACACAUGCAAGUCGAACGGAAAGGCCCUGCUUUUGUGGGGUGCUCGAGUGGCGAACGGGUGAGUAACACGUGAGUAACCUGCCCUUGACUUUGGGAUAACUUCAGGAAACUGGGGCUAAUACCGGAUAGGAGCUCCUGCUGCAUGGUGGGGGUUGGAAAGUUUCGGCGGUUGGGGAUGGACUCGCGGCUUAUCAGCUUGUUGGUGGGGUAGUGGCUUACCAAGGCUUUGACGGGUAGCCGGCAUGGGAGGGGAACCGGACACAUUGGGACUGAGAUACGGCCCAGACUCCAACGGGAGGCAGCAGUGGAGAGUAUUACACAGUGGGCGGGAGCCUGAGGCAGCAACGCCGCGUGCGGGAUGACGGCCUUGGGGUUGUAAACCGCUUUCGCCUGAGACGAAGCGUGAGUGACGGUAAUGGGUAAAGAAGCACCGGCUAACUACGUG